AUGUGGAGCCUCGUCAAAUGGCAGACUGCCCCAAAGCAGCCUCCGAGAUUCCCGAGCUGUUCCGAUCGAACGAUCCCUUUUCAUCGGAAGCUCACGGGAGGCCGCGGCGCCCGAGCAGCCGCCCUUUCAAGGGGCCGCAGAACAAAGGGAGGCUGGGAUCCAAGGCGGCGGCCCCGCCCCGCGCCCCGCCAGGCUGACGUCAGCGCCGGGGCCCGGGCGGCCGCCCCGCGCUGGCCCCCGCUGUCUUCUCCCCGCGAGGCGAACCGAGGGGCAGCCCCGCGGCGCUGGAGGGAAGCGAGCGAGGCCACGCGCGGGGCCGCGGGGAGGCGGCCAUGGCCCUGGCGUGGAGGUGACGCGAGGCACCGCGCGCCCGCGCCCGCCAGCCCGGCCACCUCGGCCGCCCCGCUCCUCCCCGCGACGCCCCUAGCUCUGAAACAGCCUCACCGGACGAAAGCCGAGCUCGCGGCAGGGUCCGCAGGCGGCGGCGGCGCUUCCGAGAGGAUGGAGCCGGAGACACCGGGAGCAGCCCACUGCCUGCAGCAGCGUCCACUGCGCCAGCGGCUGAGCUCCUCCCAGCGCCGGAACUGGAAGCGCCCAGCGCCACGCCCCGCCCCCUCCCCUGGGGCCGGGCGGCGCGCGCCCCCUGCUGGUCCCUGCGAGCACUGCGGCCCUCCCGGGCUGGCUCGGGUGUGGCUGGUAUUCGUUGUCUCAGCGGUCAGCGGCCACACUCCUGGCUCUCUAGGCAUUCGGAGGAAAUGCCCCGGGCAGGUGCGGUGCAGGGCAUCCCGGCAGAAACUGCGAACUCGUUGCCUCAAGAAUAGAUUUUGGAUUCCCUAUGCUCAGUUCAGAAUUUUACAGUCAAGCCUCGAUUCCCACUGUGUGUGUGACUGCAGACAAAUUGCAGCCGGAUCUGGGAUUCCUGACUCAGAAAUGUGUGAACUGAGACGGAACCCAUUAAAAUCCGUUUUGCAAAGGCAUUUCUCUAAUAUCUGUAACUCUAGUUUGUAA
rnacentral:lncRNA from 1 species